rnacentral:lncRNA from 1 species
GAGAUGCUUUCCUUUAUCAAUCAAAAAGGGCCGUUCACAGAAGGCAUCUUCAGAGAACCAGCCAGUAUAAAAUCCUGCAUAGCCUUAAAGAAGAAACUCAAUGCUGGACACAACGUGAACUUGGAUGAUGAAUCCGUUCUCGUAGUAUCGUCGGUCUUAAAGGAUUUUCUUCAAAAUAUCCAAGGAAGUGUAUUUUCAGCCCAUCUCUAUGAUAAAUGGCUUGAUGUUAUUGAUCAAGGGAAUGAGGAGGAGAAAAUAACUGCGACCCAGAGGCUUGUAGACCAGCUACCAAGAGCCAAUGUAGUGUUUUUGAGAUACCUUUUUGGAGUGUUACACAACAUUGAGCAACAUUCUUCAUCCAAUCAGAUGACACCUUAUGAUUUAUCCGUGUGUCUCACCCCAAGCAUCCUUUGUCUGCUUAAUUCUGGCAGCUCAGCAUUUGAAAACUUCACCAAAAAGGUUUCUCUGAUAAAAUUCCUCAUUGAAAACUGUCUCAAGAUAUUUGGAGAAGAUAUCACUUCUCUCUUUGGAGAGAACUCAGUGAGUUGUGAUAACAGUGAUAUCACUGAUAACAGUGAGAUUUCAGACAAGAAGACAGUUAAUAAGAGUUCUGUCAAAAACUCGGCCUUUUGGUGUAGCUCCAGGACUCGCGAGGACAACCAAGACCCACCUCUACCACCCAGAAAGCAAAAACAGCUCUUUGGAGCUCCUCUUGAAGCUGUAUGUGAUAAUGACACCCUGCCCACCCCAAUUCUGGUAGGUCGUCUUUUGGUUUUGGUAACCUUCCUGAGGAGGGGAGUUCGCAGAGAUCAAGUGUUCUCUUCCCAAUCUACUCCACAUGAAGAAGUCUGGCUUUGUCCGAUAAGUUUCACAAUGUUAUUUCAAAGAAAAAGAUCUGAUUUAGGUACUGCAGCGUCAGAAGGCAAAUACAAGAUGAAAAGUUACUCUCAUCCAUUCCACUGA